rnacentral:rRNA from 1 species
ACUGACAUUAGAUACCCGCGUAGUCCAGGGUGUAAACGCUGCAGACUUGGUGUUGGGGCCCUUUGGGGGCAUUCAGUGCCGGAGAGAAGUUGUUAAGUCUGCUACUUGGGAGUACGUCCGCAAGGAUGAAACUUAAAGGAAUUGCGGGGGAGCACCGCAACGGGAGGAGCGUGCGGUUUAAUUGGAUUCAACACCGUAAACUCACCAGGGAAGACUGUUACAUGAAGGCCGAGAUGAAGACUCUGCUAGAUUUUCAG